AGGCUUUCCCUGGUCAUGAUACUUCUGAAGAUUAUAGUUGUUGUUAUGGACGGUGGAAAUGGUUGGUUCUGAUGGUUUUGGUCUUUUGCGGAUUGUUAUUGUUUUUUACGAGGGGCGGCGCGAUCCUUUUCAAUCUCGCAUGUUGUAUCACAAUAUGUUUUCAUUUUUAAUGUUGUCCAUCAAUUAUUCUUAUAUGUGUGACACCAGCAUACUUAUCUGUUGAAUGCCAUGUACAGGCAGAGGAAGUUGUGGUGGAAAAGACCAAAACAAUGAUGAAAAGCCUCUACAUCUUGUCAAAGGUGCCUUUGGACAGGUAUGUAAUUUACUCAGUUACAAUAUUUGCUUUAGGUGUUCUUGAAUAGUAUACAUAUUCAAGUCAAAUAGAUGAUGAAAGUUACCUGAGUGACUGAUCAGUCAAAUUAAUUUUGGGUCAAAUAUGGUGAGGCACGUAUUUCACAAUUGGUUCACUUAUGGUGUAACACAUUUCAUAGUUCCUCAUUGCCUCAUGUGUUCAUUUGGGGCCUGUAGUAUUAGGGUAUGUACUUUUGAGUUGUUAGACUGGAUAGAUUGCUUGUGCAUUCCGUUUGAUAUUGGGAUUUGAGAAGCUACAUGUGACAUUUGGAACUAACGAGAAUACUAUACCUUUGAGCAUAAAAGCUGAGUCUUUGUUCCUUACAUAUCUCAUGCAACUGAAUUGCAUUUUUAUUUUAUUUUAAGAGGAUUAAAUGCAUGCUCAUCUGAAUAUAAUCUCCCUUUGUUUACAAAUUAUAGUUCGCUUUAGCUUUGUUCUAGGUUAAACUUCUCUAACUUCAAUAAAAGUUUUAGAAAAAUAUAUUAACAUCUACAAGUUGAAAUAUGACCUCAUUUUUAUGGAGGUUGCCCUUCUUUCUGUUCUUGGAAGAGGUUGUUCCACGAGGAAGCUAAGCUUCAAGCCCUUAGAUUCAGUGAUGGUAAUCGGCCUACCUUGCUCUGUUUAGACUCUCUAUCUUAGCUUUCCCUUUUGCCUCCCUCAGUCUUGUUGUUCCUCUCUUUUUGGUUGUUUUUUUGGUAUAGUUUGAGACCUCUUUGCACAAGCUUCUCUUCUUUUAUAUUAAUAAAAUUAUUUUACAAUAUAUGUGUGUGGGGGUCUCCCCUGCUGUAUCUUUCGCUAAAAAGAGUUGAAAUAUAUGCACGGGCAUUCAAGACAUACUUUAUGGAUAAUUUAAUGAAACUAAUUUGAUGCCGUAUAUAUCGGUUUAUUUUCUGUGAACUUGGUCAGAGCUAGAGAAGUUAGACUUAGGAUAAAGCUAAAGUGAUUGACUCCAUAACUUGUAUAGAAGAGGGAGUAAUUACUAUUCCAAGAUUUUUGUUUGAAAUUUUAGUAUUUGCGUUGUCAUUUUGAUUUUCUUGUGCACUAAUUUCUUGGUCCAAUUUAUAUAUAUACUACUAUAUUAAGGUUGUAAAAGGGUAGCCUCCCUCCCUUGGUUCUGCCUUCUGUAAAUCCACACAGUCUAUCUAUAUCCCUGCGAUCCUCGCCCUUGAACUAGCAGAACAUCCUCCGUCUCCCACCACCCGAGCGAUUUCCUCUCCCUCGCGUCCCACGCCAUGCCCUGAUGCCGUUCUUCCUCCUGACCGUGACGCUCGCCGCGAUCCCAUCCUCCCAGCCUUUCUUCUGCAUAAUUUCUUUUAUAUUAUAAUUUGUGUUCACGCUUAGGUAAGUAAUGCCACACAAUUUUUGUUUACUCCUAUUUUUGUUGCAGAUUGUCCAGACUGUAUAAUUUUUUAUAUCAUCAUUGUUGUGAUUCUUUCCUGUUUAGUCCUAGGUUAUGAUGAACAAGUUAUCAUGACUGCAACACUUGUGUUCAGAUGAGUUAGGCACUUCUCAUGCUAAUUCAAAUCUCAUACAUGAAUUUUUCAUGUUUUGUUAGUGCUUCAGGGUUCUACCUUCUUAAUGAAACUAUGAUAUAGAAUUAGAAUAGGGCACCCUAAGAAUUUUGACAUCACUAAACUCAUACAACAGAGUGUGCACAGCAACACUUGUUAAGUGGCAACAACAAAGCAAUGCAAAUGCACAUUUAAUCUUGACUUACAAGUGCUGGUAAACGAAUACCAUUUUUGUGGUAGGAAUGAGCCUUCUAUAUUUAUCGAGUUAUCUAAUAAACAUAUGAGGAGAGGCAAGAAAUUGACAGAUGACAACUCCACUUCAUUAAUUAUAUUUACCCAUCAUAUCCAAUAUUUCUGACAAAAGAUAUCUAAUAUCACUGACUUCUCUAGGUAGUGAGUGCCUUUAUGUUUGCAUGCCACUAUACAUAUUUCUUUGUUGGGAUCUGGUUCUUAUUCUGCUUGUGACUCAGUUCACUAUUUGUGAAUCUUGCUUUUGUCAGUUGCAAAUCAGCUUGUACUUGUAGCAGCAGCUGGACAGGGUCCUGCAAUGCUCGCUCCAUGGGGUGCAGGCUCAUCGUCUACCAUUACUGCCUCUCCGUGCUGGUUCCUACCAAUCUAAAACCGCUCAGGGGUGUUUGGAUUCAGCCACUAAAAUUUAGUUGAGGCCGAGGCCCUCUUUGAGCUCUACAAGAUAAGUUGUUCUAUCAUCGACGACGACCUAUCAACCAGGUGCAUUCAAUAAAAUUCCUCUUCGAUUCCUGUAUCUGUCGUGCAUAUUCUUGUCAUUCAUGACGUGAUUUGGGGCAGAUUUGAACAUCUAUUUUUUUGAAUGAAACAUUCCUUGCACUUGGAAGAUGUGUUUUUUUGUUGCUUUAGGCCUCAGACAAUUUCUUUGGAUUUAAAUAUGGAGGAAAUGGUUACAAAAGACCUGGGAUAGUGACACUCUGUCAUCCUAGGCUAAUGAGAUUGAGCACCUGGUAAUUCCAGCAACAGAUUACCUCUUUGAACCUUCACUCUAGGAUAUUUCUCAAGCCAUAGAUUUCAUCCAUAGGAAUGCAUCACAAGGUGGUACCACAUUACCCAUGAUCUACGUGCUCGGAGACUCCCUGGCGCCUGUCAAGAACAACAAUAACCUGGUGACACUGCUCAAGGCCAACUUCCUACGAAACAACAUCGACUACCUAGGGCACAAGGCCACCGGCUGCUUCAGCAAUGGCAAGAACUCCAUCGACUUCCUCGGAAGAAGGUAGGGGAAAAGCAGGGAAGUAGGUCGUACCACGGUGCCUCGUGCUAUCGCCAACGAGGGAGCUCGCUCAACAACCACAGGGAGACCACAUCGAGCUGCACCAGAAGCGCCAUGGUAAGCACUUGGACCACGAGGUGAGCAAGCACGAGGCGCGCGAGGUGCAUAGGCCUCGAAGGACACUCGCAAUGUGUAGUUCUGAUCUGAUAAGUUUACGCACUUUUGGUUUUGCUGUUCAUGUGUGCCCAUUGUUGAUGAUCACGUGUCUUGUGCUGUUGUAGUUGAUUGGUACUAAGGGCAAGAGGUUUGUCAAGAAACGCUAUGCUGAGAAGGCACAGAUGAAGAAGACAUAAGUGCUUGUUUGCUGCUCCUGUUUAUGUGUUGAUAUUUGUGAGCCAAUAACUUUUAACCAUGACUGCUUUACUGGUGUAUCAUACCCUGAGUAGCGGUUGUGAGCAUGAAAAAUUGCUUACGCCCCAUAGAGGUUAUGACUCAGCUUGUCAGCCAUCCCCAACUAAGUUGUGUUCUUCUGAACCAUGCUACUUUGUUCUUUACUGCAACCUGCAUUCGUUGAUGCGAACAAACUGAUUAUGUAUUCCUCUGAUCAUUACUUAGAUGAGGAACAAUCUCUUUGUAUUAUGUGGUCUGACUAUCGUGGUGGAAUUUGUUUAAUCUGUUUAUGUGAUUUGCAAAAGAAAAUGCAAUGAGUAUGCGCCUUUGUGAAAUAAUAAAGUUAACUAUGCAUUAACUCUUUUCAAAGGCACCACAACACUUUUUGUUGGUUGAUGGCAUAGAAUAAUCUCGCUUAUCAGUUAAAAUUGUGAAUUUGUGGGGUAUUUUUUGGGCCGCUAUAGAACAUGUCAAGAAUGAAUAAUGCUACAGAUCUGCUCAUGGGUAGCUAGAACAUCUCAAUCAAUUCUACUCUUUAAUUCUAAUCUAAUGGAUAUCACAAAAUCUUGGGGAGAUUUUUU